UGUACGACUUUCGGCAACGGAUAUCUAGGCUCUCGCAUCGAUGAAGAACGUAGCGAAAUGCGAUACUUGGUGUGAAUUGCAGAAUCCCGUGAACCAUCGAGUCUUUGAACGCAAGUUGCGCCCGAGGCCUUCUAGCCGAGGGCACGCCUGCCUGGGCGUCACGC
rnacentral:rRNA from 1 species